GCGCGAAGCGCGCUAAGAUACAAGUAAAAAAAACAGGUAUUUGAAAAUAGUACCAACUAUGGCCAUGUCUUCCGGCAGCACGAAGCCACGAGCUAAUGGGUUUACUGCGCAACGGCAUUUUUGAACUUCUACGGUUUACCUUAGCUAGCCGAGAAUCGACUGUGCAUCUUCCUCAUUCUGUUCCCAGCCUCGACUCGACAACCACCUCAAAAAUGGAAAAAUUUUACACGGCUUCUAGUUCUAGACCGCUUGUAUUCUACAGUCCACGUAGAGUAAGCGACGUUGAACUUGGUUUAGAUUUUUACCCAGAAACCCAAAGGACAUUUUUAUUAAGACUUAGAGAUGUUGUACACUAUUCCUUUCAAAGGCUUGCGGCAUUUAUUCUAUGAUGUUUCUGUUUAAACAUAAGAUACCUCAAUGAAUUGAAUCAUGUAAUAUUUGAUAGCUGAUUACUUGGUUCACUGGAUACUUCAAACUGCAGCUAAUCAGGUUAAUAAAUGUUUAAGAAUAUAUUUAAAAUUAACCACAAGUUUAGACAUUUUCAAUGAUGCUAACCAAAUAUGGUUUAUCAUAAUGACUUUGAUGACCCUUUCCCUUGGCUGUCUGAUUUUUAUUUACAUUGUAAAAUUAAAAUUUGUAAAACUGCCACGAAAUAUCAUAUCUUAUAUUCAAAUGUAUUUUUAAAGGUCUGUUGCUGAACAAAACUGUUGAGAGUUUAUGCUGCAGAGAAUGCAGACAUCCUGUAAAAACACUAGUCAAGAUGGGGAAUUGGCUUGAAACAUGAGGUGGAAAGGUUCAACUAAACCUACUGCUAUGCAGAGAUUCCCGUGGUUGUUACAGUUAUGCUGUAUCCAUAAAAGAUGCGGAAUUGGCUUGGAAAUAUCAGGUAGAAAGGUUCAACCAAACCAACUGCUAUGCGAAGAUUUCCUUGGUUCAGUUUCAUCAAUACUGUUACCACAAAAGGUGCAACUAGUGGUGAUCAUAAAAAAACGGAAAAUAUUAACCAUCUUUUCAACGUGUAUUACUUCAAAGGUGUUGAUGACACCAGGUUUUUGAUUCAGGAAUGUUCUUAUAUCAGGUCUGGCUCCGAGGACCACAACAAAUGGCAAAUGUUCUAAAUAAUUUUUGCAUCAAGUAUUGACAAGCUUCAUCGAUAAUUUAAAAUAAGGCUUGAACUGAUAUGGAUUACGACCCAUUGUUACUGCAGAUUCAAUGUUGGUUGUUUCGAUGACAUAAGGUAAGAUAAUGAAUUCAAUCAAUGUUUAUUUUUGUUAGAAUGAAUGAUGAAUUGAAAAACAAGCUUUUUUUCUAUGAUCUAAUAUGUUGAUAGCUUUAUUCAGAUAAAGAAUAUUGUUUUUAAAAUAGUUUGUGGCCUCGAAAAUUAACACGUAGUAAUAAGU